rnacentral:rRNA from 1 species
UACGUAGGGGGCAAGCGUUGUCCGGAAUUAUUGGGCGUAAAGAGCGUGUAGGCGGUCCGGUAAGUCAGCUGUGAAAGUCAAGGGCUCAACCCUUGAAUGCCGGUUGAUACUGUCGAGCUCGAGUCCGGAAGAGGCGAGUGGAAUUCCUGGUGUAGCGGUGAAAUGCGCAGAUAUCAGGAGGAACACCAAUGGCGAAGGCAGCUCGCUGGGACGUGACUGACGCUGAGACGCGAAAGCGUGGGGAGCAAACAGG